rnacentral:rRNA from 1 species
UGUCUAGUAUAAGCAAUUAUACCGUGAAACUGCGAAUGGCUCAUUAAAUCAGUUAUCGUUUAUUUGAUAGUACCUUACUACUUGGAUAACCGUGGUAAUUCUAGAGCUAAUACAUGCUAAAAACCCCAACUUCGGAAGGGGUGUAUUUAUUAGAUAAAAAACCAAUGCCCUUCGGGGCUCUUUGGUGAUUCAUGAUAACUUCUCAGAUCGCAUGGCCUUGCGCCGGCGACGGUUCAUUCAAAUUUCUGCCCUAUCAACUUUCGAUGGUAAGGUAUUGGCUUACCAUGGUUUCAACGGGUAACGGGGAAUUAGGGUUCGAUUCCGGAGAGGGAGCCUGAGAAACGGCUACCACAUCCAAGGAAGGCAGCAGGCGCGCAAAUUACCCAAUCCCGACACGGGGAGGUAGUGACAAUAAAUACUGAUACAGGGCUCUUUUGGGUCUUGUAAUUGGAAUGAGUACAAUUUAAACCUCUUAACGAGGAACAAUUGGAGGGCAAGUCUGGUGCCAGCAGCCGCGGUAAUUCCAGCUCCAAUAGCGUAUAUUAAAGUUGUUGCAGUUAAAAAGCUCGUAGUUGAACCUUGGGCCUGGCUGGCAGGUCCGCCUCACCGCGUGUACUUGACCGGCCGGGCCUUCUCUUCUGGAGAACCUCAUGCCCUUUACUGGGCGUGUUGGGGACCAGGACUUUUACUUUGAAAAAAUUAGAGUGUUCAAAGCAGGCCUUUGCUCGAAUAUGUUAGCAUGGAAUAAUAGAAUAGGACGUGCGGUCCUAUUUUGUUGGUUUCUAGGACCGCCGUAAUGAUUAAUAGGGACAGUCGGGGGCAUCAGUAUUCAAUUGUCAGAGGUGAAAUUCUUGGAUUUAUUGAAGACUAACUACUGCGAAAGCAUUUGCCAAGGAUGUUUUCAUUAAUCAGUGAACGAAAGUUAGGGGAUCGAAGACGAUCAGAUACCGUCGUAG